AACUAGAUGUAGAGACACACAGAGAGAAGAUGGCCAUGCAAAGACAGAGGCAGAAAUUGGAGUGAUGUAGCUACAAGGCAAGGGAUGCCAAUGAUUGCCAGCAACCACUAAAAGCUGGGAAGAGGCAGGGGAGGGUCCUUCUCCAGAGCCUUCAGAAGGAACAUAGCCCUGAAGACUCCGUGGUUUUGCACUUCUAGUCUUCAUAACUAAAACACAGACAUUGGAAGACGUAUGAGACUACGGAAACUAAUUUUCUCAAGGUCAACAAAUAGAGUUGGAAAAUAACGAAGGAACAAAGAAAUGCUGACAGAAAAUGAAUUUCAUACUCCAGUAGUGUUACCAAACUACAUUUCCCCAUCAUGGUAGCCUAAGCCAGGAAGUGGAGAAAAGAGAAGGAUGUCAUUAAGUGGAAAAUAAUCAGGGCAUUUUGAGAGUGGUGUUUUUGGCCGUCGAGAUAAGUCAGUCAUUCUGAGGUAUGGAUGGACAGAGAGCAAGCACUGGCAAGAACAAGAAGAGACGAAUAGGUCGGGCUCUCUCUGUGGGUAUAAAACUCUGAGCAGUUCACUUCAAUUCAUUGGAUCUUGGUGGGCCUCAGACCCACUAAUUACUAUAGUUUCUUGAGGCCUCAAGGUUCAUUUUCUAAAGAAGAACUCCGGCCACGUUCAUUUAUAGCUAUCUUUUAAAAAUACCCAAAUCUGGCUGCGCAGUGGCUCACGCC
rnacentral:lncRNA from 1 species